rnacentral:rRNA from 1 species
CGUAAGCGUAUACCAAAGUUGUUGCAGUUAAAACGCUCGUAGUCGGAAUUUGGCAGUUCCGGAUGUGUGCACAUCGUGUGCGCACUUCGCGGGGAUUGCUUUUGUGGUCUUGCGUAGGAUGAGGCACUUUUAUUAGUGAACGUCCUCACGCAACCACUUUUUACUGUGAGAAAAUCAGAGUGCUCAAAGCAGGCAUUUGCCGUGAAUGUAUUAGCAUGGAAUAAUAGAAUAGGACUUGGUUCUAUUUUGUUGGUUUGUUGGGACUGAGUAAUGAUUAAGAGGGACAGUUGGGGGCAUUUGUAUUUCGGUGCUAGAGGUGAAAUUCUUAGAUUACCGAAAGACAAACUGCUGCGAAAGCGUCUGCCAAGGAUGUUUUCAUUGA